UACAGAGGGUGCGAGCGUUGUUCGGAAUUAUUGGGCGUAAAGGGCGCGUAGGCGGCGCCACAAGUCACUUGUGAAAACUCUGGGCUCAACUCAGAGCCUGCAAGCGAAACUGUGGUGCUGGAGUAUGGGAGAGGUGCGUGGAAUUCCCGGUGUAGCGGUGAAAUGCGUAGAUAUCGUAAGGAAGGCCGGUGGCGAAAGCGAGCCUCUGGACAGUUACUGACGCUGAUGCACGAAGGCCAGGGGAGCAAACGGG
rnacentral:rRNA from 1 species